rnacentral:sRNA from 1 species
UUGACAGCAGGGAAGAUUGAAAUUCUCAAUUUAUCCACCGAGCAGAUAGAGUUGAGCAGAGACAAUAAUCCUUCAAUAUACCACAGCCCUGACAAGAAGUGACCAUUUCUAAGGAUAAGAGAGAGAUGUAGGCAAUGUCUCUGUUCAGUCCUUCACUUCU